CGGGGGGAGCAAGCGUUGUUCGGAUUUACUGGGCGUAAAGGGCGCGUAGGCGGCCUCUGCAAGUCGACUGUGAAAUCUCCGGGCUUAACCCGGAACGGUCAGCCGAUACUGCAGGGCUAGAGUGCAGAAGGGGCAACUGGAAUUCUCGGUGUAGCGGUGAAAUGCGUAGAUAUCGAGAGGAACACCAGCGGCGAAGGCGGGUUGCUGGGCUGACACUGACGCUGAGGCGCGAAAGCUAGGGGAGCGAAUGGGAUUAGAUACCCCGGUAGUCCUAGCCUUAAACGAUGAAUGCUUGGUGUCUGGGGUUUUAUAGUCCCCGGGUGCCGUCGCUAACGCUUUAAGCAUUCCGCCUGGGGAGUACGGUCGCAAGACUG
rnacentral:rRNA from 1 species